rnacentral:rRNA from 1 species
ACGGGAGACACACGGCGGGUGCUAACGUCCGUCGUGAAGAGGGAAACAACCCAGACCGCCAGCUAAGGUCCCAAAGUCAUGGUUAAGUGGGAAACGAUGUGGGAAGGCCCAGACAGCCAGGAUGUUGGCUUAGAAGCAGCCAUCAUUUAAAGAAAGCGUAAUAGCUCACUGGUCGAGUCGGCCUGCGCGGAAGAUGUAACGGGGCUAAACCAUGCACCGAAGCUGCGGCAGCGACGCUUAUGCGUUGUUGGGUAGGGGAGCGUUCUGUAAGCCUGUGAAGGUGUGCUGUGAGGUAUGCUGGAGGUAUCAGAAGUGCGAAUGCUGACAUAAGUAACGAUAAAGCGGGUGAAAAGCCCGCUCGCCGGAAGACCAAGGGUUCCUGUCCAACGUUAAUCGGGGCAGGGUGAGUCGACCCCUAAGGCGAGGCCGAAAGGCGUAGUCGAUGGGAAACAGGUUAAUAUUCCUGUACUUGGUGUUACUGCGAAGGGGGGACGGAGAAGGCUAUGUUGGCCGGGCGACGGUUGUCCCGGUUUAAGCGUGUAGGCUGGUUUUCCAGGCAAAUCCGGAAAAUCAAGGCCGAGGCGUGAUGACGAGGCACUACGGUGCUGAAGCAACAAAUGCCCUGCUUCCAGGAAAAGCCUCUAAGCAUCAGGUAACAUCAAAUCGUACCCCAAACCGACACAGGUGGUCAGGUAGAGAAUACCAAGGCGCUUGAGAGAACUCGGGUGAAGGAACUAGGCAAAAUGGUGCCGUAACUUCGGGAGAAGGCACGCUGAUACGUAGGUGAAGCGACUUGCUCGUGGAGCUGAAAUCAGUCGAAGAUACCAGCUGGCUGCAACUGUUUAUUAAAAACACAGCACUGUGCAAACACGAAAGUGGACGUAUACGGUGUGACGCCUGCCCGGUGCCGGAAGGUUAAUUGAUGGGGUUAGCGCAAGCGAAGCUCUUGAUCGAAGCCCCGGUAAACGGCGGCCGUAACUAUAACGGUCCUAAGGUAGCGAAAUUCCUUGUCGGGUAAGUUCCGACCUGCACGAAUGGCGUAAUGAUGGCCAGGCUGUCUCCACCCGAGACUCAGUGAAAUUGAACUCGCUGUGAAGAUGCAGUGUACCCGCGGCAAGACGGAAAGACCCCGUGAACCUUUACUAUAGCUUGACACUGAACAUUGAGCCUUGAUGUGUAGGAUAGGUGGGAGGCUUUGAAGUGUGGACGCCAGUCUGCAUGGAGCCGACCUUGAAAUACCACCCUUUAAUGUUUGAUGUUCUAACGUGGACCCGUGAUCCGGGUUGCGGACAGUGUCUGGUGGGUAGUUUGACUGGGGCGGUCUCCUCCUAAAGAGUAACGGAGGAGCACGAAGGUUGGCUAAUCCUGGUCGGACAUCAGGAGGUUAGUGCAAUGGCAUAAGCCAGCUUGACUGCGAGCGUGACGGCGCGAGCAGGUGCGAAAGCAGGUCAUAGUGAUCCGGUGGUUCUGAAUGGAAGGGCCAUCGCUCAACGGAUAAAAGGUACUCCGGGGAUAACAGGCUGAUACCGCCCAAGAGUUCAUAUCGACGGCGGUGUUUGGCACCUCGAUGUCGGCUCAUCACAUCCUGGGGCUGAAGUAGGUCCCAAGGGUAUGGCUGUUCGCCAUUUAAAGUGGUACGCGAGCUGGGUUUAGAACGUCGUGAGACAGUUCGGUCCCUAUCUGCCGUGGGCGCUGGAGAACUGAGGGGGGCUGCUCCUAGUACGAGAGGACCGGAGUGGACGCAUCACUGGUGUUCGGGUUGUCAUGCCAAUGGCACUGCCCGGUAGCUAAAUGCGGAAGAGAUAAGUGCUGAAAGCAUCUAAGCACGAAACUUGCCCCGAGAUGAGUUCUCCCUGACCCUUUAAGGGUCCUGAAGGAACGUUGAAGACGACGACGUUGAUAGGCCGGGUGUGUAAGCGCAGCGAUGCGUUGAGCUAACCGGUACUAAUGAACCGUGAGGCUUAACCUU